rnacentral:rRNA from 1 species
GAUCAUGGCUCAGGACGAACGCUGGCGGCGCGCCUAACACAUGCAAGUCGAACGAGAGAGAGGAAGCUUGCUUCCUCAAUCGAGUGGCGAACGGGUGAGUAACGCGUGAGGAACCUGCCUCAAAGAGGGGGACAACAGUUGGAAACGACUGCUAAUACCGCAUAAGCCCACGACCCGGCAUCGGGUUGAGGGAAAAAGGAGCAAUCCGCUUUGAGAUGGCCUCGCGUCCGAUUAGCUGGUUGGUG